AAUUUUGGACAAUGGGGGCAACCCUGAUCCAGCCAUCCCGCGUGUGCGAUGAAGGCCNNNGGGUUNUAAAGCACUUUUGUCAGNGAANAAAAGGCUCUGGUUAAUACCUGGAGCUGCUGACGGUACCUGAAGAAGCAGCACCUGCUUACUACGUGCCAGCAGCCGCGGUAAUACGUAGGGUGCAAGCGUUAAUCGGAAUUAUGUGGCGUAAAGGGUGCGAAGGCGGUUCGGCAAGAAAGAUGUGAAAUCCCAGGGCUUAACCUUGGAACGGCAUUCUUAACUGCCGGGCUAGAGUAUGUCAGAGGGGGGUAGAAUUCCGCGUGUAGCAGUGAAAUGCGUAGAGAUGCGGAGGAAUACCGAUGGCGAAGGCAGCCCCCUGGGAUAAUACUGACGCUCAUGCACGAAAGCGUGGGGAGCAAAC
rnacentral:rRNA from 1 species